GCACUGCUGAGGAGUCCCACAAUAGGACGAAGUGGCCGUUCAGUGC
rfam:Schistosoma rodhaini strain Burundi genome assembly, scaffold: SROB_scaffold0001435